AGAGUGAACGCUGGCGGCAGGCCUAACACAUGCAAGUCGAACGGCAGCACAGAGGAGCUUGCUCCUUGGGUGGCGAGUGGCGGACGGGUGAGGAAAACGUCGGAAUCUGCCUAUUUGUGGGGGAUAACGUAGGGAAACUUACGCUAAUACCGCAUACGACCUACGGGUGAAAGCGGAGGACCUUCGGGCUUCGCGCAGAUAGAUGAGCCGACGUCGGAUUAGCUAGUUGCGGGUAAAGCCACCAAGCGACGAUCCGUAGCUGGUCUGAGAGGAUGAUCAGCCACACUGGAACUGAGACACGGUCCAGACUCCUACGGGAGGCAGCAGUGGGAAUAUUGGACAAUGGGCGCAAGCCUGAUCCAGCCAUGCCGCGUGUGUGAAGAAGGCCUUGGUGUAAGCACUUUGUACGAAAGAAAGACACUAGGUUAACUACCCGUGUGUCAUGACGGUAACGUAAGAA
rnacentral:rRNA from 1 species